UAGGUCAAAUGUGUGACCUUUGGAGUUCUCAGACUCUCUUCCUCUCACGUAACGGCGCGACGGCCUCUCAACUCCGAUCAUCUCCCUCUCUCAUCUCCGCCGUGAAAACAACAGAACACGGAACAAACUCCUCACGUGUCUCAUCUCUCCGUUUCUCCAUCUCAUUCUUCGCUCCGCCCUCGCCUCUCUCGUCUCCGAUUCAGACUCGCUUCAUUCUCGAAUUGAUCAGUAAACGCGUUGUGUUGUUGAGGAUGUAGGAAGAAGAUGAUGAUUUGCGUUCUUGUUCGGUUCUCCUUUGACUUUCGCUCGCAUCAAACAACACAGUCGUAUCGGAAGUAACUUCGAUGGUGCUUCAACGGCGACGACAACGGAAAGAACACCAUAAACUCUUCAGAUGAAGAUGAAAUCGUUGCGUUGAAUUGCUGCGUCGGUGAUUGUCGAAUCGGUGAAGAGUGCUAUUGUUAUUCUGUGAUGAAGAUUGAAAUUGCGGUGGUUGUGAAGUUUGUGGCGUUUUUCAGCUUCUGUUGAGGUGAUGAAGAUUGAAGAAAGAUCAAGAGUUGAAGAUCGUGAAUGAAGAUGAGGUUGAGAGUGAAGAACUGAGGUGAAAAAUGGUUAAGGUGAAAGGAUUGAAGAGAGGAAGAAUUGGAGAAGAUCGAUUGUGAGGGAAGAGAAGGAAAAGUGGUGAAGGAGAAUGGAAGAGAGUGGCAGUGGUGAAGAUUGGAGAGUGGAAUUGAAGAAGAUCGAGUGUGAGAGAGAAAGAAGAACUGAGAUUGAAGUUGAAGAAGAUGGAUUGUGUUGAGAAUGAAGGAAAAAGGGGAGAGAAUGAAUGGAAAGUGGGGUUCUGUUAUAUAGAGAUCGAAGGGGGAGAUGUUAGUUACAGAUGAAGAAUCUGAGCCCUUGAAUUCAAAAGUUUGUUACACCAAUGAAAGGUAGAGAUCGAUUCGGUUAUGAGGUUGGAUUUACAAUGUGAACAUGACCCUUCCUUGUAUAUCUGCUUAUGGUUUCGACACCGACCUGGUAUAGAAUGAAUUUACUGAUGACAAAAACAGAAUCCCUGCUGCCUGAACUGUGUCGAUGCUUCAGUGUGAUUGUUUGAUUGCAGGAUUUUUCUGGAUCGUGUAUGGAAGUGUUAUGGUGUAAGGAUGACUUUAAGGUGUGAGACUCGAAUAUGUUCGUAUGGUGUAUCGAAUGAGGCAGUAAACUGGUGUAACAGCUGUUUGGUAAAGUGUAAGGCUGUCUUGACUCAUGUGCUGUUUUGCAGCAGGUGAAGAAGGAGAUGAAGAGCAUGGCUGUAACGAGGUAGCAUGUCGUGAAGCUUCAAUGGUGCACGGCAAUGAGGAGAGCCUUAGGUGUUAGGCUCUGCGUAUAACUUUAGAUGUAAACUCCUUAGUGCAAUGUGAUAAUGAUAUUUGUAAUAAACUCUGUAUUUUAUUUGUAAUGCACUCUUGGAUUUUGUAAUGGAUGAAAUAUGUAAUGUUUUUUGUAACGAAAUUUGUAUGAAGUGUAUGAAUGUUUAAGUGUAUGGACUUGAGAUGAACUUGAAAUGGAUUUUGAAUAUUGGAAUGAAUGUAUUUGAAUGAAUGGUGAACUUGUACGAUACACACCAUCUUCGACAUGCAUCUUGAGUCGUAUUCAGCUAAAAUCUCGAUCAGAACUCAUACGCGCACUCCUUAAAUCUCACCCUUGCGUGCAUCUUAAUUUUUGAUAAGUUGAAACAAACUUGACCUCAUAUACCAUUACUUGAAUCCAGAGUUUGAGUUCACUCGUAUUUUGAAACAGAACACCUGAUAAGCGCACCUCUUUAACUUUGAUGUAGUCAACCCUUUUUCAAUUGCAUCAUGAUGUAUGCCUUAUAACUCACACAAGCCAAAAUACCGAAUUGAUGACCCGUGCUCCUCUUGUCCAGCCAAAAUUCCUUUUCAAUUGUUGGAUAUAACCUUAGAUAAACAUCAAGUUCCAAAUAUUGAAGGAAAGAUGUUCAGGAUAGCCUUAAGACCAAACUCACACAUAAGGGAUUGAAAUCAUAAUUCCAUAGUUCCAUGUUCAAAGAAGAACUAGAUGAACCAGUCCAUGUACACCUCAAAACAUUAUG